rnacentral:sRNA from 1 species
AGAGCUUUUUGAUACCACCCAGGCUUGGGACUCUCUGUGACAAGUCUGGUUUAAACUGCUCUCUGCUUUAUUCCCACUUCUCUGAAGCUUCCUCAUCCUUCAUACGACUGACCCUGGAGCUGAAGGCCAGGUUUUGCAGUGGUCUGAGAACUCUCUGCAGUUUCUGAGCUCCUGCAGCAUGGGCUGCCCCAGAUAAGCAGCAGGAGCCCUGAAAGCCUUGCCUUCCUGUCUGAUCACCAGUACAUGGAGGGAGCUGCUCGCCAGAGACAGUACUGCAUCCUGCUCCUCUUCUACUUGUCCUACAUCCAUGAGGACAGGUUUGUCUCAGAGGCAGAGUUAUUUGAGGCUGUGCAAAGCUUCCUCCUGUCUCUGCAGUACCAGGGCAAGCGCCCCCCACUGGUGGUCUUCAAAGCCUCCAUCUAUCUGCUUGCAAUCUGCCAGGACAAAGACAAUACACUACGUGAGACUAUGGUCAGUGCAAUCAGAAAAUUCCUAGAAGGCAUCCCAGACCUGCAGCUAGUCUAUACCCACCAUCCGCUCCUGCUCAGGUUCUUUCUGUUGUAUCCAGAGCUCAUGAGUAGGUAUGGGC